rnacentral:ncRNA from 1 species
CAUCUUCGGGGCAGGGUGAAAUUCCCGACCGGCGGUAUUUGAAGAUUCCCUCUUCAUCAGCCCGUGAGCGAAAAAGUUUUCUUUUUUGCUGAUCUGGUGUAACUCCAGAGCCGACAGUAUAGUCUGGAUGGGAGAAGAUG